rnacentral:rRNA from 1 species
UACGAAGGGGGGCUAGCGUUGCUCGGAAUCACUGGGCGUAAAGGGUGCGUAGGCGGGUCUUUAAGUCAGGGGUGAAAGCCUGAGGCUCAACCUCAGAAUUGCCUUUGAUACUGAAGAUCUUGAGACCGGAAGAGGUAAGUGGAACUGCGAGUGUAGAGGUGAAAUUCGUAGAUAUUCGCAAGAACACCAGUGGCGAAGGCGGCUUGACUGGUCCGGUUCUGACGCUGAGGCGCGAAAGCGUGGGGAGCAAACAGG